rnacentral:rRNA from 1 species
UGUUUCCUACGGGACGCAGCAGUGGGGAAUAUUGCACAAUGGGGGAAACCCUGAUGCAGCAACGCCGCGUGAGUGAAGAGGUCAUUCGUGAUGUAAAGCUCUAUCAGCAGGGAAGAAAAUGACGGUACCUGAGUAAGAAGCCCCGGCUAACUACGUGCCAGCAGCCGCGGUAAUACGUAGGGGGCAAGCGUUAUCCGGAUUUACUGGGUGUAAAGGGAGCGUAGGCGGGGGUGCAAGUUGGGUGUCAAAACUACCGGCUCAACCGAUAGU